rnacentral:rRNA from 1 species
UACGUAGGGCGCAAGCGUUGUCCGGAAUUAUUGGGCGUAAAGAGCUCGUAGGCGGUCUGUUGCGUCCGCUGUGAAAACUCGGGGCUUAACCCCGAGCCUGCAGUGGAUACGGGCAGACUAGAGGUAGGUAGGGGAGAAUGGAAUUCCCGGUGUAGCGGUGAAAUGCGCAGAUAUCGGGAGGAACACCGGUGGCGAAGGCGGUCUCCUGGGGCAUUCUUGACGCUGAGGCGCGAAAGCUGGGGGAGCAAACGGG